rnacentral:miRNA from 1 species
UACCGCCCCGUUCUGCGCUCGGA